rnacentral:rRNA from 1 species
AUACGUAGGGGGCGAGCGUUGUCCGGAUUUACUGGGCGUAAAGGGUGAGUAGGCGGUUGUAUAUGUCAGAUGUAAAAGGCUAUGGCUUAACUAUAGUAAGCAUUUGAAACUGUACAACUUGAGUGCAGGAGAGGUAAGUGGAAUUCCUAGUGUAGCGGUGAAAUGCGUAGAUAUUAGGAGGAACACCAGUGGCGAAGGCGACUUACUGGACUGUAACUGACGCUGAGUCACGAAAGUGUGGGGAUC